AUGAGGCUGCUCGGCGCGGCGGACGACGGGAAGAUCAACGACGAGGGGAUGGCGCUGCGCAAGGCGGAGGAGGCCGCUGCGCGGAGGUGCGAGGCGGCGCGAUGGCUGCGGCAGAUGGCGCCGGCGGCGGUGGAGGCCCUGCCGGACAGGCCGUCCGAGGAGGACUUCUGCGCGGCCCUGCGCAACGGCCUCAUCCUCUGCAAGGUCCUCAACCGCGUCAACCCCGGCGCCAUCCCCAAGGUCGUUGAGAAUCCCGUUGACACGAUGCAGUGGUCUGAUGGGGCGGCGCAGUCCGCGAUCCAGUACUUCGAGAACAUGAGGAACUUCCUCGUUGCAGUUAGUGAGAUGAAUCUAUUGGAAUUUGAAGCUUCCGACAUUGAGAAGGGAGGUUCAUCAAUGAAAGUUGUGGACUGCAUACUCUGUCUCAAAGGAUACCACGAGUGGAAACUUUCAGGUGGAAUCGGUAUAUGGCGGUAUGGAGCUAUUGUUAAGAUUGCGCCUCCAAGCAAGAGGUUGCCUUCACAUUCUUCCAGGUUUGGAGGCUCAGCUGACCAGAACCAACAAAUGCUGGAAUUUGUUCAUCUUCUCUCCGAGGUCUCCCUUGAGGAAACCAGAGUUGAAGAAUCCCAGCAUUCACUUUUCCAGCAGUUUGUUCUUCGAGUUGUGCGGGCAUUCCUUCUGGAAUGGAGUGAAGCUGAUGACUUGCCUUUAGAUGAUAUGGUCCUUGAAACAAUACUUGAGCAAGCCUCUAAAGAAUUCACCAUUCUGCUUGUGUCCCACCGGAAUCAGGUCAGAUCCCUUUUGAGGAAGAUGAUGAAAGAUGACAGUGGUGUUUGCUCCAAAUUGGAGUUGAUUGAAGCUAUUUCAAAAUCUUUGCAAUUGCCCUGUGGUAGCCGCAAACGCUUGGGUGACGGGGAAGGACUUGAACACCAACAAGAAGAGCUGAAGAAGUUAAAACUGUCCUUCAAUGAGAUGAAGUCCGAAGUUGAAUCCACUCGAGCUAAAUGGGAGGAAGACUUGACGAGGCUAGAAAGCUAUUUUGAGGCUCAGAACCAUAAUGCUUACCACAAGUUACUGGAGGAAAAUCGUAAGCUGUACAAUCAAGUCCAAGAUCUUAGAGGUAGCAUUCGAGUCUACUGUAGAGUGAAACCUUUACCGAAGUACCAACCUGAUCAACGAUCUACUGUGGAUCAUAUUGGGGAAAACGGGGAGAUCAUGAUUACUAACCCUGAAAAGGAAGGAAAGGAUGGACGGAAGAUAUUCUCUUUCAACAAAAUAUUUGGACCUAAUGUUUCACAAUCUGAAGUUUAUGUUGAUACACAACCACUUAUAAGAUCAGUGAUGGAUGGCUAUAAUGUUUGUAUAUUUGCAUAUGGUCAAACAGGAUCGGGAAAAACCUACACUAUGAGUGGUCCAGACAAAACAGCAGAGGAGACCUUGGGCGUAAACUACCGAUCGCUAAAUGAUCUGUUUGAUAUUUCUCAAAACAGAUCAGAUACCACGACAUAUGAUGUGAGGGUUCAGAUGAUUGAAAUAUACAAUGAACAAGUGAGAGAUCUAUUGAUGGCUGAUGGUGCAAACAAACGAUUAGAGAUCCGUAACAACUCUCAUGUGAAUGGACUCAACAUCCCUGAUGCCAAUUUAGUGCCUGUGAAGUGCACAAAGGAUGUUUUGGACCUGAUGAAACUUGGUCACAGAAAUCGGGCUGUUGGAGCGACUGCUCUUAAUGAACGAAGUAGCCGCUCACACAGUGUGUUGACAGUUCAUGUGCAAGGGAAGGAGAUAAUUUCUGGUUCAACUUUAAGAGGAUGCCUUCACCUGGUGGAUCUCGCCGGAAGUGAGAGGGUGGACAAAUCUGAGGCCGCCGGAGAAAGACUGACUGAAGCCAAGCACAUCAACAAAUCACUAUCGGCACUUGGUGAUGUUAUAGCGGCACUAGCACAGAAAAGUUCACACGUCCCAUACCGCAACAGCAAGCUAACACAAGUGCUGCAGGACGCCUUAGGCGGCCAGGCGAAGACAUUGAUGUUUGUGCAUGUGAACCCUGAAGCGGAUUCUUUUGGUGAAACAAUUAGCACCCUCAAGUUCGCCGAGCGCGUGGCCACCGUAGAACUUGGCGCGGCCCGUGUUAACAAGGAAGGUGCACAGGUCAAAGACCUCAAGGAAGAGAUUGGUAAACUAAAAUCGGCAUUGGAAGAUAAGGAGCGUGAAGCAGCACAGCUGAGAGAUGCCACAAACCGUAUAACAUCAUCCGAGACAAGAAAUGCUGCAAGGGCGAGGUCACCUCUAAUUACCACCAGCUUGCGCUUCAAGCCUGAGGCUAGGCAGGAUUCCAGCGUCGACACUUGCACAAGCGAGAUCAGAAGCUCGUCGUCUGGGAAGCAGAGAAGGUUCCGGUCUCCACUAUCAGUGCGAGAGGUGGACGACAAGUCACCCGUCAUCAGCAGGGAGCUAUACUUCAGCUCGCGCAAGUUCAAGACCCCGUCACCUCCGGUGAGAAGCUCGUUCUCCGCCGAGAGAUCCGGCGGCACCGCGGCGAAAACUGUGGAGAAGGCCGACAGCAUCAUUGAGUGCACGCCUACGCCUACGCCGAGGAUUGAGCCGCCCGCGAAGGCAUCGCAAGGCAGCCGGUCCAGGAACAACACGCCGGCCUCCAUUCUGACGGAGCAGAGCCUGCGGAAAUUCCGGGACUCGGAGGAGAACCGGAGCGCGAAGCCGACGGUUAGAGAGAGCGUGAGCGUGACCAAGAACAGGCCUGACAGCGCGACCAAGGCGCGGAGGGAGGAGCAGCAGACGGCGAACGGCUGCGCGGACUCCGGGAGUAAGGUGGCGAGGUCGGAGGCCAGGGUGAGGAAGAACUGGUCCGAGGUGGAGAACGAGCUGGCCAACGGCGAGCCCACCUUCCAUCUCAGCCGGAAGUCGGCCAAGAAGCUCCCGCCGCCGGCGACCAGGCAGUCCCAGAGCAUCGAUCUCAGGGCGUCGGUCCGGGAGGCGGAGGCCGUGACGGAAGGGAAGCAUCGCCGGAACAGGCCGCCGUACGCGGAGAGGACCAACGUCCCCUUGCCGGAGACGCGCCGCAGCAUGUCCCUGCCGCGCGGGAAGCUCGCGCCCGUGUGA
rnacentral:rRNA from 1 species